rnacentral:rRNA from 1 species
CGCAGGUGGUUGAUUAAGUCUGAUGUGAAAGCCCACGGCUUAACCGUGGAGGGUCAUUGGAAACUGGUCGACUUGAGUGCAGAAGAGGGAAGUGGAAUUCCAUGUGUAGCGGUGAAAUGCGUAGAGAUAUGGAGGAACACCAGUGGCGAAGGCGGCUUCCUGGUCUGUAACUGACACUGAGGCGCGAAAGCGUGGGAGCAAACA